rnacentral:rRNA from 1 species
GACGAACGCUGACGGCGUGCUUAACACAUGCAAGUCGAAGGGAGUGGCGAACGGGUGAGUAACACGUGAGUAACCUGCCCUUUUCUUUGGGAUAAGCCUGGGAAACUGGGUCUAAUACUGUAUUGUUUGGGAUGGGCUCGCGGCUUAUCCGCUUGUUGGUGGGGGGAUGGCGUACCAAGGCUUUUACGGGUAGCCGGCCUGAGUGGGGGGUCGGUGACAGUGGGACUGAGAGACGGCCCAGACUCCGACGGGAGGGAGAAGUGGGGGAUAUGGAAGAAUGGAUGAAAGGCUGAUGCAGCGACGUCGUGUGGGGGAUGAAGGCCUUCGGGUUGUAAACUCCUUUCGCCAGCGGAAUGGUAGUGGGUAAAGAAGCGCCGGCUAACUACGUGCCAGCAGCCGCGGUAAUUC